GGGAUGCGUAGGAUAGGUGGGAGCGCAAGCGCCGGUGAAAUACCACCCUUCCC
rnacentral:rRNA from 1 species